rnacentral:rRNA from 1 species
UACAGAGGUUGCAAGCGUUAAUCGGAUUUACUGGGCGUAAAGGGUGUGUAGGUGGUUUGGAAAGUCGGUUGUGAAAUCCCCGGGCUCAACCUGGGAAUUGCUUCCGAUACUGGAUGGCUUGAAUUCGGGAGAGGGAUGCAGAAUUCCAGGUGUAGCGGUGAAAUGCGUAGAUAUCUGGAGGAACAUCGGUGGCGAAGGCGGCAUCCUGGACCGGUAUUGACGCUGAGGCGCGAAAGCCAGGGGAGCAAACGGG